rnacentral:rRNA from 1 species
UACGUAGGGUGCGAGCGUUAAUCGGAAUUACUGGGCGUAAAGCGUGCGCAGGCGGUUCUACAAGUCAGAUGUGAAAUCCCCGGGCUCAACCUGGGAACUGCAUUUGUGACUGUAGAGCUGGAGUACGGUAGAGGGGGAUGGAAUUCCGCGUGUAGCAGUGAAAUGCGUAGAUAUGCGGAGGAACACCGAUGGCGAAGGCGAUCCCCUGGACCUGUACUGGCGCUGAUGCACGAAAGCGUGGGGAGCAAACAGG